GGGAAAGUGGCUCAGUGGUAGAGUGCUUGCCUUGUAUGCAUAAGGUCCUGGGUUCGAUUCCUCAGCACCA
rnacentral:tRNA from 1 species